AGCCAAUUACUAAUUAGCUGAGAAAUCUGGGACAAGUUACGUGGUUUCACUGAGUAUCUGGCUCUUCAUCUACAAAUUAAAUUCAUAAUAUCUGCUUUGCAGCAUGAUCAGAGGAGCUCUAAGGAGCAUAUGUUCAGUGCCUGGCACAGAGAGAUACUCAAUAAAUAUUUUCAUUUAAAAUAACCAUGUAUAUGCAUUACCUUAUUUUUAGUUGUAUAAUGACAUUUUAUUUCACUAAAUUUGACAUUAAUGUUGUUGGAAAUUAUCCUCUUGGUUAAUUCUGGUUUUUCUGCAGAAAAAUAGAUUCAUUUUUCUUUCAAUGAGGUAAGUCUUUAGUGCCUACCAUCAGGCAAAAUGGUGUAUCUAGAGGGCCUGUAAUAUUCUUAGGAAAAUGUCAAAUAAAAUGGGGUGACCAUAAGAAAGGUCCAUACCAGGAUGACUGAAUCACACAGCAUGCAAAUAAGAAAGCUUGAAAGGUAGGAGGAAUAGUCAUUCAAAGACACAUGCUGUUAUGGAUUGAAUGUUUGUGUCCUUCCAAAAUUUAUAUGUCAAAAUCCUAACCCUAAGGUGAUGGUACUGGAAGCGUGGCCUUUGGGAGGUACCUAGGUUAUGAAAGUGGAGCCCUCAUGAUGGAAUUAGUGCCUUUAUAAAAAGGAACCCAGAGAGCUCUUUUGCUCUCUUUCCAACCGUUGAGAGGACAAGGAGAAGCAGGCAGUCUAUGACCUGGAGAAGUCCCUCAUCAGAACCCAAUCAUGCUGGCACCCUGACCUGAGUUCCAUCCUGUAGGACUGAGGGAAAUGAAUUUCUGUUGUUUAUAAGUCACCUGGUCUCUGGUGUUUUGUUAUAGUGGCACAAAUGGACACAUGCAUACAUAUGCAUAUGGAUAAGAAGGAGCUCAUGGUUGCUUGGGUUUAAAGAAUAAUAUUUGAGUACUCCACUCAUAUUAACUUUCAACAAGUAUAGAAGGUCAAAUGUGAACCCACAAUGUCUCUGAAUUGGUUACCACGUCAUGAGUUCUAGCACUAGGUCCUUAAGAUGUUAACCUUUCCUUUCUUCAAAACAAAUAAAAUUGGUCAUAAGAAUAAACAAGUGACCUAAGAGAAGGGUGCCUGAUGGGUCACUCUGUAUGAUGCCUAACACUUCACAGGCUGUUACAGCAACCGGCUCCAAUAUCCUAAACUCAACUAUUUGACUUUGACUCUCCCCCUCUUUCUUGUCCGUUCCUUCAGGUGACCAUCCCAUUAGAAGAAGACAGAUGCAGCAGAGAGGCCACUAACUGUCCAUGUCACAGGAUACUCCUCCUACACCCCCCUCCCUCCCUGAAGUGGUCUGUUCUCUACAAUCAUCUCAUCAUCCCCAUGUUUUAACUUGUUUUCAUAAUUUUUCAGAACCCUAAUCUCAAUCACAUAUGAGUAUUAGUAGAUUUCAUUAUUUAAAUGAUUUAAAAUAAGGUCUGGAUGACAGGGUAUGCUUGUCUGAUUUAGGUAGUCUACUUCAUUUAAAGAAGUACUUAGUUGCCUAAAUAAGAUUUAAACAUUUGGAUUUGGGAAUCUCUUUUCACUUGUUCUUUUCUUGGUCCAUAAGAAGAGCCAGAACCACAGCAUGCCUCUCUAUUUCAGAGCUACAUUAAGGUGAGUUUAAAAACAAGUUAACUUGUUGAAUGCCAGGAAGAAAAACAAUAUUUGGGAAUAAAAUCUGAUGGAGAUAAGAUUUGGCUAUUGAGGAAAUUAUCUUCGAAUAAGCAAUCAUAUACAACUCAAUUCUUAAUUAGUUGAAUCAAGCUAUUCUUAAGUGAGAAUCAUUAAAUAAAAUUUUAAAAUUAGUUCUCAAAUUAUUUUUUAACCCGAAGAUGUAUCAAUAAUAAAUAUAUUAAAAUAGCAUGUACAGCACGCAGUUUGAUAAAAAUUGAUUAGGAUGGAUUAUACAGCCCUCCCCCAAGUAGUUCUGCACUGAAUUCUGAAGGUAACAGGAAUGAGUGGGAAGGAGCCAUGAAAAAAAUGCAAACUUGUUACAACAGAAAACUACACUUGUGAUUCCAAAAAAGAGUGGUUUGGGUGAUUUCCAGUAAUUCUUGGGAGAAAAAGAGCAGGAACUAUAAUCUCACAACAUAAUGAGUUGGGAUACGAGACUGAAGUAUAAAGAUGAAAUAACAUACCUUUCAAAAACAGAAUUCCUCAAAAAUCUACAAGCUGAGAAGAAAGCACCUUUGAAAAUAUUUAAAGUAAAAAUAACAGUAUACAAAUGCUAUAAUUAUGGGACCAUACUAUAGCCAUCUAGACAGAUUAAGAAUACAGAAGUUACCUUGACAACCAUUUCAGAGAUUGGAUAGAAGGGGGUGAGAAGUUAUGAGCUAUCCCAUCAUGACCCAUCAGUCAUAGGUGCUGAAAGUCUUACCAUCUGUAUUAGUCUGUUCUCACAUUGCUAUAAAGAAAUGCCAGAAACUGUGUAGUUUAUAAAGAAAAGAGUUUUAAUUGGCUCACAGUUCCACAGGCUGUACAGGAAGCAUGGCUGGGGAGGCCUCAGGGAGCUUUUACACAUGGCAGAAGGCAAAACAGAUGCAGGUAUCUUCACAUGCCCGGAGCAGGAGGAAGAGAGGGAGUGGGGAGGUGCUACACACUUUUAAACAACCACAUCUCAGAAGAACUCUAGCAUUAGAACAGUACCAAAGGGGAAAUCUGCUCCCAUGAUCCAAACACCUCCCACCAGGCCCCACCUCCACACUGGGGAUUACAAAUCGACAUGAGAUUUGGGCAGGGACACAAAUCCAAACCAUUUCACUAUCUAAGCACAGAGCUUGGUUCUAUGACUUUCAAGCUAAGUCUGCUCACAAGGAAAAUGCCACUAUUUCAUUUAUUUUUUAAAUUCAGUAAACACCUACUGUGCACCUACUUUGCUCCAGGAAGUGGGAAUGUCAAAACAAGUUUUAAAAGCCCCUGGAGGCGGAACUUGCAGUGAGCCUAGAUGGUGCCACUGUACUCCAGUCUGAGAGACAGAGUGAGACUCUGUUCCCCCCCGCCCCCUAAAACAGCCUCUGGAAUUUAAAUUAACAUGACAAAAUAAUGUGGCAAGUGCACAAAUGGAGGUACAUAAAAAAUGGCCCUAUGGGAGCUGUGCAGGAUGGAGUCCACCAACGAGGCUGCAGGAACGACUUCAUAAAAGAAGGAACAGCUGGGUUGGAACCUGAAAGACAGCUCAGCCAGGCAUGGAGGUGUGAGGGAGGAGUGCUCCGCCCACAUGGAAGAGCACAUCUAGGAAACAGAGAGAAGCAUGGUGCAGGCGGAACCUCUUAAAGAUGGGGUAUGGUAAACGAUGUGGUUGAAGAGGUCAGCGUGUUGAAUUUAGGAAAUGAAAUGCAAAUAAAAUGCUUAAAGGAAAAUGUGACAUAAUCAGAUUUGAAUCUUAAAAUGUUCGCACCCACUUUUGUGUAGAAGACACAUUGGAAGAGAGUAGGACUGGGGGUUCUUCAUCAUACUGAGUUCAUUUUCUUUUUUUUCCCCAAGGUUGUUAAUUUAGUAGAUCAGAGAAAUCCACUCGAUAAAAAUGUUUUUAAGAUUUCAUCGUAGCACUUGAUGAGCUCUCUUGUCAACAAGUUCUGGAAAUAUUUACUGGAUGAUAAUACAAUCAACCCUUUACUUCCUCCUCUUCAAAUAAGCCAUACAGAAUAAAGGAAAAAUCUACAGAAUAUUGGCAAUUGGGAUGACCGUUGGCCUCUACCUUGCCUAGAGAGGAAAGAAAGGCCCAAGGACCUUGAGAUUUCAUGUGCAGCAGCAUCUGAUGGGCCGGUUACCUUCUUUGCCCUGCACAUUUUCUCUAUUCCUCUCCCCACAGCUCUCUGCCCUGAGAGGUUGACCUGGAUGAGCUGCACCCACAAGCUCAUUUGUCCUCAGGUUUCCAGUUGAGUUCCACCAAUGGGAGGCACCAUCAGGAGAUGCAGACUUCAAGAAGAGUGAAGCUGGGAUGUUUACUUCCCCAACUCGCUCUACCGAGCUGCGUGUGAGCUGGCUGGGUACUUCGGUGAAGUUUGCAGCUCCCAUCGGCGCCCUUUUCUACAUCAGCCUCCGUAGCUGCCCAACUUUCUUUUGCCAUUGCAGCCAGUUGAGUGGCAAAACUGGCCCCCUCAAUAUUUUACUGUUCCUUGUUGGCUUCAUUUUAGCCUGUCCACACUUUUGUCAAUUACCUUUUCUUUAAACUCUCAAUCACCUAUUUGAACAUGCCACCGGGGAUGCUGCUUUGAUCCUGCCUGACAACCUUGGUUUCUAGUUUAAUAUUUUCUCCUCUCCCCUCCGCCCCACACUAUGCUGGGUUGAAGCAUAAAGGAAAUAAAAGAUUGCCUUC